rnacentral:rRNA from 1 species
GUACACACCGCCCGUCGCUCCUACCGAUUGAAUGGUCCGGUGAAACUUUCGGAUGGAGGUUCAUAUGUAGGGGCAACCCUGCUAGUUCCCCCAGAAGAUCGGUAAACCAUAUCAUUUAGAGGAAGGAGAAGUCGUAACAAGGUCUCCGUAGGUGAACCUGCAGAAGGAUCA